CUUCACCGAGCCCAGGUAAAGCGGGUGCUCCCGGUCCUGCCCGUACGUCGCCAGCAGCGCCUGCGCCUC
rnacentral:antisense_RNA from 1 species